rnacentral:rRNA from 1 species
UAGGUCGACCCGCUGAAUUUAAGCAUAUCACUAAGCGGAGGAAAAGAAACUAACCAGGAUUCCCCUAGUAACGGCGAGUGAAGAGGGAAAAGCCCAGCACCGAAGCCUGUGGCAAUUUUGCUGCUAGGCAAUGUGGUGUUUAGGUCGGCUCGUGGGAUCGCCACUCCACUCGAAGUCCAGCAUUGAGUAUGGUUCCCAGGAAUUGGCCCAUAGAGGGUGAAAGGCCCGUUCGAGUGGAUGUGUCAGAUAUGUAAGGCGAUUCACCAGGCCGGCCUUAGAGUCGGGUUGUUUGCGAAUGCAGCCCAAAGUGGGUGGUAAACUCCAUCCAAGGCUAAAUACUAGCACGAGUCCGAUAGCGAACAAGUACCGUGAGGGAAAGUUGAAAAGUACUUUGAAGGGAGAGUAAACAGUACGUGAAACCGCAUAGAGGUAAACGGGUGGCGUCAAGCUGCAAGCCCAGAGAAUUCAGUCGGUCAGGGUGUUGGUAUGCGCCCAGCGCAUCUAUCAGUCGGUGUAGGAUUUGGCUAGUCCGCUGGAAAAUGGCGGGCCCAGCUAGCAAUAGUUGGGAUUUGCGUUCCGGGCGGUUGCCGGAGCAUGCUAGCCGUCUGUUGGACUGCCUGGCCGAUGCACUUUCUCUGUUGGUGAACACCACGACCGGUGGUACUGCCAGUCUGCUGUAGCUAACUUCGUAGCAUGCUUUGGUCUUUUAGGCUGAGGCAUGUGUCGAUCACAGACAAUUUCAGUGCACGGUGCUCGUGUGUUUUCCGCACGCGGGCAUGUUAUCGGGAACUGGUUGUAAACGGGUCAGCCUGUCGACUUGUCUGUAGUCGUGGUUGGCGGGUGACCCGGUGGGCUAUGGUGGUAUGAAUAACUGUGCAGGGCACCGGAGUUUUCGGUCAGAUGGGCUGUACACGUGCUGCAGUUUAGCGUGUGCACUGUUUGCCUUGUUGUGGACAGUAGCACAGAUGGGGCUGUUUACGGCAUUCCAGUCGUCGGGUCUGAUUGUCGUGUCGCCUGCCAAAAUGGUGGGUCCGGCAUUGGCUCGGUCGAGUGAUGGUGCUUGUAGGCGGAUCCGUCAUUGUGCAGCCCUGGAUGGCCAUAUAGUCUGUGGUGUAGUGGUAGACGAGCUACCCGACCCGUCUUGAAACACGGACCAAGGAGUUUAACAUGCGCGCGAGUCAUUGGGUCGUACGAAACCCAGAGGCGCAGUGAAAGUGAAGCCUCGACAUUGUUCUCGGGGUGUGGUGAGAUCCUACUGUUUCUCGCAUACAUUUGUCCAGCACUGGGCUAUCUAAACGAGCAGUGGGCGCAUCACCGGCCCGUCCCAUGAUGUGGCUAUCUGUCGGUGACAUCCGUUGCCUCAGGUACGUCAUCGGGGCGGAGCAUGAGCGUGCAUGUUGAGACCCGAAAGAUGGUGAACUAUGCUUGCGUAGGUUGAAGCCAGAGGAAACUCUGGUGGAGGACCGCAGCGAUUCUGACGUGCAAAUCGAUCGUCAAACGUGAGUAUAGGGGCGAAAGACUAAUCGAACCAUCUAGUAGCUGGUUCCCUCCGAAGUUUCCCUCAGGAUAGC